CUGCCAGGAGUACCUGGUGGCUUCUGCAGGACUUUCCAGGUGCAAGUGGGUCACCUGGAGCCAGAAGAGAUCUCCCUAAAAGGAGAGGGUAACUUUCCCAGGAUCUCCUUGGACCUCCCCAGGAAUAUCAAAGGAAAUGAAAAAUAUGAGAAGGUCCUCAAGGGGGCAAAAGAGAAGAUGGAACAAGACAGCCAGAGAGAUGAAGCUGUGGUUCUGGGAGAAACUGUGGCUGCAGAGCCACCCACGGACGGCUCCAGCACCAUGUUGGAGCCUUGUCUGCAGAUGCAGAUGGAGCAGAUGCUGCUAGAGGAACAUGCCCUGGAGCAGCUGAAAGCUCUGGCCUGCGGUCCCCCAGAGGACACUGCCUUCGACCAGCGUGCUCGCUGC